UCUUUGCAGAAUGUCUUUUUUAGUCCUGGCCCCUGUGAAAUGCUGCUGGUGCUCUUCUGUCUUCACUGUUUCCAUGGUAGCCGAUCCCAUCCUUCAGUGACUUUCUCGUCAGUGGCCUAAACAAAAUCUAGAACUGAGCUGUCAUAAUUAAAUGGAAGGCAGUUUAUGAUAUUUUUGAAGACUUGGUGGUAUUACAGGGAAAAAGUACCCCGCAGCUAAAACUGGGAGCCAAGAACUAGUUAAUUACCUGAAACACAUCAUGGAACAGCAUCCUGGAAGCUGCAAGACAGGUUUUUGCUCGUUGCCAAAUUGGGACUGCAGCGCUAAUGGCAGCUCCGUAUCAUUAGUGCACAGACUCAGGUGAAGUGGAUUUUAGCUACGUGUAUCCAGACUGAAGAUUUGACAGAAGUGAGCUGUGCCUGUGCUUAGGUUGUAAAGCUCAGCACUCAGAGGUAAAAAGGCAGUAAAGUGAGAAUGUUUUUUGUAGUACUUACCGAGCUGUUUCCUACUUCUUUCUCCAUUGCUGAAUGUGACUCAUUAUUAGCUGGGUU